GCUGUGGGAAGAAUCAUAGAAUCAUAAAAGGAAGGAAGAAGGAAGAGAAGCCUCAACCACACAUGGCUGAAGAUUUGAGUUUCAGUCUGAACUUUCAAGAGAUGCAAUCAAUCCUUACUCCCAUCAGCUCCAUUUGACUCCCAAUUUUGGGAGAAGACCAGAGUAUAUGUACAUCAGUAUUAUUUUUAAAUGUUAUCAUCUUUGGGUUGAUGUAUGUUUUCCGGGCUGUAUGGCCAUGUUCCAGAAGCAUUCUCUCCUGACGUUUCGCCCACAUCUAUGGCAGGCAUCCUCUGAGGUUGUGAGGAAUAUAUGUCCAUGUUCCAGAAGUAUUCUCUCCUGACAUUUCGCCCACAUCAAUGGCAGGCAUCCUCAGAGGUUGUGAGGAAUAUAUCUCCAUGUUCCAGAAGCAUUCUCUCCUGACGUUUUGCCCACAUCUAUGGCAGGGAUCCUCAGAGGUUGUGAGGAAUAUAUGUCCAUGUUCCAGAAGUAUUCUCUCCUGACGUUUCACCCACAUCUAUGGCAGGCAUCCUCAGAGGUUGUGAGGAAUAUAUGUCCAUGUUCCAGAAGUAUUCUCUCCUGACGUUUCACCCACAUCUAUGGCAGGCAUCCUCAGAGGUUGUGAGGAAUAUAUGUCCAUGUUCCAGAAGUAUUCUCUCCUGACGUUUCUCCCACAUCUAUGGCAGGCAUCCUCAGAGGUUGUGAGGAAUAUAUGUCCAUGUUCCAGAAGCAUUCUCUCCUGACGUUUCUCCCACAUCUAUGGCAGGCAUCCUCAGAGGUUGUGAGGAAUAUAUCUCCAUGUUCCAGAAGCAUUCUCUCCUGACGUUUCUCCCACAUCUAUGGCAGGCAUCCUCAGAGGUUGUGAGGAAUAUAUGUCCAUGUUCCAGAAGUAUUCUCUCCUGACGUUUCGCCCACAUCUAUGGCAGGCAUCCUCAGAGGUUGUGAGGAAUAUAUGUCCAUGUUCCAGAAGUAUUCUCUCCUGACGUUUCGCCCACAUCUAUGGCAGGCAUCCUCAGAGGUUGUGAGGAAUAUAUGUCCAUGUUCCAGAAGGAUUCUCUCCUGACGUUUCACCCACAUCUAUGGCAGGCCAUCCUCAGAGGUUGUGAGGUAUAUAUAGCCAUGUUCCAGAAGUAUUCUCUCCUGACGUUUCUCCCACAUCUAUGGCAGGCAUCCUCAGAGGUUGUGAGGAAUAUAUAUCCAUGUUCCAGAAGUAUUCUCUCCUGACGUUUCUCCCACAUCUAUGGCAGGCAUCCUCAGAGGUUGUGAGGAAUAUAUCUCCAUGUUCCAGAAGCAUUCUCUCCUGACGUUUUGCCCACAUCUAUGGCAGGGAUCCUCAGAGGUUGUGAGGAAUAUAUGUCCAUGUUCCAGAAGUAUUCUCUCCUGACGUUUCACCCACAUCUAUGGCAGGCAUCCUCAGAGGUUGUGAGGAAUAUAUGUCCAUGUUCCAGAAGUAUUCUCUCCUGACGUUUCACCCACAUCUAUGGCAGGCAUCCUCAGAGGUUGUGAGGAAUAUAUGUCCAUGUUCCAGAAGUAUUCUCUCCUGACGUUUCUCCCACAUCUAUGGCAGGCAUCCUCAGAGGUUGUGAGGAAUAUAUGUCCAUGUUCCAGAAGCAUUCUCUCCUGACGUUUCUCCCACAUCUAUGGCAGGCAUCCUCAGAGGUUGUGAGGAAUAUAUCUCCAUGUUCCAGAAGCAUUCUCUCCUGACGUUUCUCCCACAUCUAUGGCAGGCAUCCUCAGAGGUUGUGAGGAAUAUAUGUCCAUGUUCCAGAAGUAUUCUCUCCUGACGUUUCGCCCACAUCUAUGGCAGGCAUCCUCAGAGGUUGUGAGGAAUAUAUGUCCAUGUUCCAGAAGUAUUCUCUCCUGACGUUUCGCCCACAUCUAUGGCAGGCAUCCUCAGAGGUUGUGAGGAAUAUAUGUCCAUGUUCCAGAAGGAUUCUCUCCUGACGUUUCACCCACAUCUAUGGCAGGCCAUCCUCAGAGGUUGUGAGGUAUAUAUAGCCAUGUUCCAGAAGUAUUCUCUCCUGACGUUUCUCCCACAUCUAUGGCAGGCAUCCUCAGAGGUUGUGAGGAAUAUAUAUCCAUGUUCCAGAAGUAUUCUCUCCUGACGUUUCUCCCACAUCUAUGGCAGGCAUCCUCAGAGGUUGUGAGGAAUAUAUAUCCAUGUUCCAGAAGUAUUCUCUCCUGACGUUUCGCCCACAUCUAUGGCAGGCAUCCUCAGAGGUUGUGAGGAAUAUAUAUCCAUGUUCCAGAAGUAUUCUCUCCUGACGUUUCUCCCACAUCUAUGGCAGGCAUCCUCAGAGGUUGUGAGGAAUAUAUGUCCAUGUUCCAGAAGUAUUCUCUCCUGACGUUUCGCCCACAUCUAUGGCAGGCAUCCUCAGAGGUUGUGAGGAAUAUAUGUCCAUGUUCCAGAAGUAUUCUCUCCUGACGUUUCGCCCACAUCUAUGGCAGGCAUC